UAGAGUUUGAUCCUGGCUCAGAAUCAACGCUGGCGGCGUGCCUAACACGUGCAAGUCGAACGCGAAAGCCCCCUCGGGGGUAAGUAGAGUGGCGUCCGGGUGAGUAACACGUGGGUAAUCUGCCUUCGGGUGGGGAAUAACCCAGGGAAACUUGGGCUAAUACCGCAUAAUGCAGCGGCACCUAAUGGUGAUUAGUUGUUAAAGCGGGGGAUCGCAAGACCUCGCGCCUGAAGAGGAGCCUGCGGCAGAUUAGCUAGUUGGUGAGGUAAUGGCUCACCAAGGCUGCGAUCUGUAGCUGGUCUGAGAGGACGGCCAGCCACACUGGCACUGACACACGGGCCAGACUCCUACGGGAGGCAGCAGUGGGGAAUUUUGGGCAAUGGGCGAAAGCCUGACCCAGCAACGCCGCGUGAGGGAGGAAUCCUCGGGAUGUAAACUCACAGCAAGGAAGAGACUGCGGGCUGAUAUCCCGCUGUACGACGGUACCUUGCGUAGCACGGCUAACUACGUGCAGCAGCCGCGGUA
rnacentral:rRNA from 1 species